rnacentral:rRNA from 1 species
AUCUGCUCAAUGAAUAUUAAAUAGCCGCAACUAUGUUGUGCUAAGGUAGCAUAAUCAUUUGUCUUUUAAUUAAAGACUAGAACGAAAGAUUAAACACUUUUACUUCUAUAUCAAAUACAAUAACCUUAACUUAUUCUAAAUAUUAAAAAAUAUUUAUUCCUAAAAAAGACGACAAGACCCUAUUGAACUUAACUUAAGUUAAACUGGGGUAGUUAAUUAAAUAUAAUUUUAAUUUAAAUAAAUUAAAAAAAAUCUAAUCCAAUUAAAACAAUCAAGUUACCAUAGGGAUAACAGCGUAAUAAUUUUUACAAGAUCUUAUUUAAAAAAUAGUUUGCGACCUCGAUGUUGAAUUAAUAACCUAUUGAAUGCAAUAAUUCAAACUCUCAUAAGGAAGUCUGUUCGACUUUUAAAAAAUUAC